rnacentral:tRNA from 1 species
GCGGGCGUGGCGGAAUUGGUAGACGCGCCAGACUUAAAAUCUGUUGGCCGUAAGGCCGUGCCGGUUCGAUUCCGGCCGUCCGUA